ACAUGACCAAAAUGGUCAGUUGACCCCUUUAGGAGUUAUUGCCCUUUAUAGUCAAUCUUUAACCAUUUUUCAUAAAUCUAAGUAAUCUUUUACAAAAUCUCCACUGAAACUACUAGGCCACAAUCAUCUUUGGGGUAUCUAGUUUGAAAAAUGUGUCCGAUGACCUGGCCAUUCAACCAAGAUGGCUGCCACGGCUAAAAAUAGAACAUAGGGGUAAAAUGCAGUUUUUGGCUUAUAACUAUGAAACCAAAGCAUCUAGAGCAAAUCUGACAAGAAGUUAAAUUGUUCAUCAAGUCAAUAUCUAUCUGCCCUGAAUUUUUCAGAUGAAUUGGACAACUGGUUGUUGGGUUGCUGCCCUCCAAUUGGUAAUUUUUAAAGAAAUUUUGCCGUUUU
rnacentral:lncRNA from 1 species